AACUCUGUUAUUAGGGAAGAACAAAUGUGUAAGUAACUAUGCACGUCUUGACGGUACCUAAUCAGAAAGCCACGGCUAACUACGUGCCAGCAGCCGCGGUAAUACGUAGGUGGCAAGCGUUAUCCGGAAUUAUUGGGCGUAAAGCGCGCGUAGGCGGUUUUUUAAGUCUGAUGUGAAAGCCCACGGCUCAACCGUGGAGGGUCAUUGGAAACUGGAAAACUUGAGUGCAGAAGAGGAAAGUGG
rnacentral:rRNA from 1 species